GUUUUAUUUAUUUAUAUUUUUUUUUGUAAUUGAACGGAAUAUUUCUCCAUACCGCCCCAUCUUGCCUUAUGCUCCUGCCGUCCCCAACUCCCUAUCGGCGUAUCCUAUUCCAUUUUCUUCAAAUACAAUAUACAUUUACACACUCAAGAAGAAGACGAUGAACCAUUUCCUACCGGCCAGAUUCUUAGGGUUUGUGCCUUUUCGGUGAUGAAAUUCAUUAAAAAGGAAAUUAAAAGCUUUUGAUUUUGAUGUAAAUCGUUUCCAACAUAUGUUUGUGAAGAUCAGAUUCAGAAGUCUAUAAGACCCCAGUAAGCCAAUAUGCAGAUGGGAUGUAACUCAGAUGAGAAGAGCUGCUGUCGUGAGUAUGGAUGCUCAUAUUUGUAAAGCCUGUAAUCCUUGUUCAGUACUUGAUGGAUGGCCUGUGUGCGGGAAUUACUAAUUAGAAUGUUAGCGUAUUGACCAGACAAAGGUUUUCAUAGAAGCAGCGAAGGUAAUGAGAAUGGCGACAUUGGAGUUUUUGAAGUCACUUCAAGGCUUACGAGGUCCAACCUUAAUAGGUAAAGAAUUGAAAGGUAUGUCUAUAUCUAGCCAAAACCUUUUCACCUUUAUAUGGUGGAACUGGAAACCUACAAGCACAAGUCAUCAAAUAUGUAUGAUGUUUCCCAAUUGUAAAAUUAACAUAAUCCUCAACAGUCCACAAUCAACGUUAUGAAGUAAUUAACAAAUACAAUCUGACAAGGCAUGUACAUAUCUCAUUUACAUGUUAGAUCUUACUUUGAGAAAUAAAAUCAAAGGUUCACUUGAUUGAAAAUUUUGAGUUAAUUUAAGCUUUACUUUGAGCAAAAACUCCAUCAAGAUAAAGACUUUUUAAUUUUAUUAGAAACAUGUUAGAUGUGUGCAUUGACAGAUCUAAAGUGAGGUGAACGAGCUCAGUUAACAUCAGUUAAAUUUAAAAUAAAAUCAGAUAGUAUAAGUAAAUAUAUACUAGAUCAUUUGGUUAAAAUUCUCAUCUCCCACAAAAAGGACUCGGAUUCAUCGUGCACUAUUAUAUAUUCUCGUGUAAUGCACAGAUCUGUUAGUUUGUUAAUUUAUAUGAAAUUUUUUUAUUGAAUAUUCAUAACAAAAUUUUAAUUACUUAAAAGAUUAUUAGUUAAAUCUAUUUUACUGAUAA